rnacentral:lncRNA from 1 species
GGACAGUUACAAAUGAGGCCACUGGUAUCAGCAGUGGUGGUGGUGCAGAAUUUUCGGUAGAAGUGUCCUAUGCCGACUUUUCUUUCCUUCAGUGUGAUUUUAGUGCCAGUUCUGGCCUUCUUGUGAUUUUUAGUUCCAGUUUGUUUCCCAAGUCUCUUUCUUCAGCUUUGGCAUUUUUGUGUCUUUUUUUGCAUAACUGAGAUUGCCCUUGCUCUUGCAGCCAGGAACUUUGACAGGUGUGAUUGUUAGCAGCAAUAAUUGGGCUUAAUUUCUAACUAUUUGGAGAUACAUCCUUUUUUAAUUUGAUAGCUACAGCUGUCAAAAUCUUGAAUUUCAUUUAACAUUGUAAAAGAGAAUUUGAAGGGGGGAAAAUAUAACUUUUACUUAUUUAAGUAGUGGUAUCAGAGGGAAACAAUGAAAAUUUUCAUUAAGAAUACUAUUUUCAAGAAAUUGUUCAUAUUUUUCAGCACUCUAAAAAACCUAAAGCAUUUUUGGUAGAUGUUAUUUUUCCACAUAAUUUUUAUUAUCAAAACAUGUAAUUUGUAUUGGGCAUGUAUUACUGCUGUCCUGAAAAACCUCCAUUUGAUUUCCCUUUCCAUCCCUUCCUUUUCUUAGGGUAAGGCCGCCCUCACCACCCGACUCAGAGAUGGUGAGUGUGACCCACACCUGAGCAGUCAGCAGGUUGUGUCUUCUCACACAUGUUGGUUGGUUCGAAUUGGACGAAUGUAUUUCAGUAUACUUUGAAAAAUGGCUAUCGCAGCUUCAAGCGCUACCACCUGACACAUCACAUGGGGCCUGAGAAGGAGGCCAACACAUCAGAAAGUAGAACUGAGAGGAUGGAGAGAGAGAAACUGAGUCCUGAUGAUGUAUCUGAGGCUUAAAUCCAGUUAUGCUUGAAGCCAUCCCUCCUCAUACAAUUUUAAUCCUAUAAGCCAAUACAUGACCUUUUUGCUUAUGCUAGUUUAGAGCCUAGGUUUUCUCUCACUGACAGUCCCAAUUUCUUUGGAAUAUAAAUGCUAAAUCAUCUUGAAUUGACAUCAUGGUAUAUUACCAGCACAUAUAAUCAUGUCACAUUUGUACAUGAACUAUUAACAAGGAAAAGCAACUAAUACUUGAGGGUGAAAAAUUAAUUCAGAAAGAGAUGAGCGUGAAAUUUCAAACCUUAAAUUCUCUAACACUUUGAGAUAGCUGUAUUUGUACUUUCUAUGAUUUAAAUCUAUAAACAAAUUAAGAAAGAAAAAUUUAAAAAGAAUGUUUAAGUCACGGGUUUUUUUGUUUUUGUUUUUGAUUUUGUUUUUUGGCGGGGAGCAGCACCCGCAGCAUAUGGAAGUUUUCAGGCUAGGGGUUGAAUCGGAACUGCAGCUGCCAGCCACAGCCACGCCAGAUCCAAGCCGCGUCUGUGCCCUACAACACAGCUCAUGGCAGCACCAGUUCCUUGACCCACCCAGUGAGCCAGGGAUCAAACCCACAUCCUCAUGGAUACUAGUCAGGUUCGCUAUUGCUGAGCCAUAAUGGAAACUCCUGUACACAGAUAUUUUAAGCUGGAAAGUAUAUUUAUUAAUAUAUUGCCAUUAAGUUCCCCAUCCACAUUCUCUAUCCAUGUAUUUUCCCUUUACUCAUCAUCCUUGAUCUGAAAUUGAAAAUUAUUUUCUUCAUUUCCCUCUUGCUUACUACAUCCUUGGGCAUUGAAACGGAUAAAGAAAACAACUAAUGAAAGCACUCCAGAGGAAAGAUGACUUCAAAAGAGAGAAGAGCUCAGAAACCUGUAUUAGUCAGGAUUCUUUGGGGUGCAAGUGCCACAGGCUUAACACAACUUAACUUGGUCAGUAUUGGCUGGCUCAAAUGGCUACUAUGAAACAAGAAAGAAUCUCUAGCCCCAGUCAUGGUAGGGUGCAAGGAUUCAAGUCAUGUCACUAGGGUUUUGUCUCUGCAUUGUUCAUUUUUGCUUUCCUUUGUGUUGGCUUUAUUCUCUGGCAGGUAUUCUCCAUGGAGUGCAUGCGUCCAAAUGUCUAUCAUUCUUAUAAUUCCAGACUUCAAAGAAGUGUUACUGUCAUUUUUCUCAGUGACAAUUAUAAAAAUCUCCAGGAGGGAAAAUCCCCCCAAAAACAUAUUGGCCCUACUUGAUUCUCAUGACCACCACGGUUUGGGGAUGGGAGCCCACAAUUGAUUGCUCAGUCAAUAUGACAUUGAAUGGAAUUACAAUAUUUGCAAAAAAGAAAAGAUAUCCUCUCCAGUAAGGCUGUUCUACUUCCCAUUGCAAGCUGUUCUUCUUGCUUUUGCUUCACUAGCUAAUAUUCUGUUCUUGAAUUCAGUUGAUUUAAGAUGCCUCCUAUUUAAAAGAUGAAAAUAUUUCUUCUGGUAGGAUUUGGUUUUUUUAUAUCCAGUGCAAGUUAGAUCAGAAAGGUUUCUUCUAAUAAGUAGCUGGGAUCACCUGAAUUGAGGGACGGGGGAUUUUGGCUCUGUAAAGAAAAGUAGGAAUUUUGAAGCUUGGCACUGUACAAAGUGGUAAACAGCAUGGACUUUGGAAGUCAUGUGACUUUGAGACUUCCCAACUCUGUGACCUUAGGUACAUCGCUUAAUUUUUCAAAGCAUAUUUUUUUAACCUAUAAGAUGAAAAUAAUACGUAUCUCUUCAAGUGGCUAUGAAAAUUAAAUGAGGCAAAAUAUGUAAAACAUAUAUCACAAUACACAGCACAUAGUGGGGACUUGGUAGCUGAUGGCUUACUGGGUAUUAUGAUUGCCACUAGUAAUAGUAAAACUGUCCUUUGCCACCUUUGUUCCCAAAUGGUUCCCAGCCAUCUAGAAUUAAGAGUUCAGAAAGGUUCUGUCAUUCAACUACAUUUUAAGUUUCAUGUCAACUUUUACAAAUGGGUCUGGAAGUCUUAACUGCUGUUCGUAAUGUUGGUUCUAUCAGGAGAUUUUCCUUGAACUUGAAGAAAAUAUGUGUUUGUAACACGUCAUUCUUCAGUGGCAUUUGUUACAAUUUGCUAUGUUGUUGUUUUUAAUUUAGUUUCUGCUUUUAUGAGGGCCAGACAAUCACAUGAGUAGAGUCACAGUUUGUUUAAUGAAUUACAAGAAUUAGGAAUAUAAUAUAUUCACAGAGGCUGCUGAUGGCUAUAAGAAGUUGUGUCAUAAGCAUAUGACUUGUUUUGGGGUGGGGGUGCUCCUUAACUUGGAGCCCAGUUAAGCCACAGAUGAAAUUUCGAGCUUUUUCAUUUUGUUUUUGUUGUCAGAUAUUUAGCAUUUCACUUUAAAAUCCCGGUUGUAUCUUGUGGCCUUUUACAGUGGCGGGCUGAUCUGAUGGAUUCAGUACGAGGACAUGUGAUUAUGGUAAGCAGGCAAAGAAUCCCACUGUUCUGUUAUUUUUGAGAAUAAAUUCAUGGAUGAAUAAUCUUAGAUACACAAAGCUAUAAUGAUGACUUUUAGUAUAAAAAAACUUAACAGCUAAAUCUGUUAACACUCCCAUCCCUGCUUUGCUUAAUGUAGGUGAUUAUCAUGACAUUACGGAGUCAGAGUUAGGGAGUUGAUAUUGCACUGUCUUACUUUUAACAGAGAAAGUUUACUUAUGGCUAUAGGCGAUACGUGGCAUGCUUAUAUUCAGACAUUCCUCAUGCUGUUAUUAGUUACAGAAAUACUACAUUUGCAUGUACGAAUGGUUAGUCACAAUCUAGUAUAAUGUUUAGAAAAAUACUAAUAAAGUAUACUCUACGUGAUGAAUUUUUAUCUUUGUACAUAAUGGAUAGCAUAAAUUUUCAAGGUGAUCAAGAAAAGGAGACACUGAACAAAACCUAAGAAAUAAUGGAUGUCAUGUUAGUAUGACAGAUGAUUUUCUAAAUAAAGCUUAGAGGCAUUGCUGUACCUAUAUUCCUGUCUUUGAAUAUGUGCAAAAAUAACAUCUUGGUCAUAAAAGUUUUCCCUAUAUAGAUUGUCAGUAAUUUAUAUCAAAAGUGCAUAAUCAAGAAAGGAUCAUUGUUUCUGCCAAAUAAACAUCUAUCCUUUUUUAUAUUUUCUGCAGUAAACACUUGCGGCAUUUUUAAAACAUGGGAUUUUUUGUCACAUUUUGCAGUCUAGUUCAUAGUCAUACAGUCUUCAGUUUUGCAAGCCUGUAAAAAGGUCCUUCCAUUCGUUCUCCAUUCAUUUGCUGGUAAUGUGCUUUGCAGAUUUAAUAUGAAGUUAACACCUUAGGCAAUGUUUCUUUACUUUCUAAAAUGUCAUUGUAUUUCAUGUAAAUAGUUGGGGUUUUUUAUCUUUCUUGACACUAAGUAUUAUAAGUAGAGAUGAGGACGAUUUUAUCUUUAUAGAAAUAGAAAAUCUGGGCCUUCCCUUUGUAGCUCAGUAGGUUAUGAACCCAGCUAGUAUCUGUGAAGAUGCAGGUUCGAUCCCUGGCCUUGCUCAGUGGGUUAAGGAUCUGGCCUUGCUGUGAGCUGUGGUGUAGGUCACAGAUGUGACUUGGAUCCAGUGCUGCUAUGGCUGUGGUAUAGGC